rnacentral:rRNA from 1 species
CCUACGGGUGGCAGCAGUGAGGAAUAUUGGUCAAUGGGCGCGAGCCUGAACCAGCCAAGUAGCGUGAAGGAUGACUGCCCUACGGGUUGUAAACUUCUUUUAUAAAGGAAUAAAGUGAGGCACGUGUGCCUUUUUGUAGGUACUUUAUGAAUAAGGGUCGGCUAACUCCGUGCCAGCAGCCGCGGUAAUACGGAGGACCCGAGCGUUAUCCGGAUUUAUUGGGGUUAAAGGGAGCGUAGAUGGGGUGUUAAUGCAGUUGUGAAAGUUUGCGGCUCAAACGGAAAAUUGCAGUUGAUACUGGCAGUCUUGAGUACAGAUGAGGUAGGCGGAAUUCGUGGUGUAGCGGUGAAAUGCAUAGAUAUCACGAAGAACACCGAUUGCGAAGGCAGCUUGCUAAGCUGCCACUGACACUGAGGCUCGAAGGUGUGGGUAUCAAACAGGAUUAGAUACCCGAGUAGUC